UAUACCUACGGGGGGCAGCAGUGGGGGAUAUUGCACAAUGGGGGGAACCCUGAUGCAGCGACGCCGCGUGGGUGAAGAAGCGUUUCGGCGCGUAAACCCCUGUCAGCAGGGAAGAAGAUGACGGUACCUGACCAAGAAGCCCCGGCUAACUAAGUGCCAGCAGCCGCGGUAAUACGUAGGGGGCACGCGUUAUCCGGAUUUACUGGGUGUAAAGGGGGCGCAGACGGCGAUGCAAGCCAGGAGUGAAAGCCCGGGGCCCAACCCCGGGACUGCUCUUGGACCUGCGUGG
rnacentral:rRNA from 1 species